AGAGGAAUAUGCUAAAUUUUAAGCAACUAGACUCAUGAUCUGGAAAUGAGAUUAAUUCUCUUCCUCUU
rnacentral:tRNA from 1 species